CCCUUAGAUGUUCUGGGCCGCACGCGCGCUACACUGAUCAGUGCAACAAGCAUCCGUCCUUGGCCGACAGGCCCGGGCAAUCUUUGAACGCUGAUCGUGAUGGGGAUAGACUUUUGCAAUUUUUGGUCUUCAACGAGGAAUUCCUAGUAAACGCAAGUCAUCAACUUGCAUUGAUUACGUCCCUGCCCUUUGUACACACCGCCCGUCGCACCUACCGAUUGAAUGGUCCGGUGAAAAUUUCGGAUACCGGCGUUGCUGGCGGUUCGCCGCCGGCGACGCUGGUAGAAGAUCUUUAAACCUUAUCAUUUAGAGGAAGGAGAAGUCGUAACA
rnacentral:rRNA from 1 species